UACGUAGGGUGCGAGCGUUGCCCGGAUUUAUUGGGCGUAAAGGGCGCGUAGGCGGUGAGAUGCGUCCGUUGUGAAAUCGCCCGGCUCAACUGGGCGGGGUCAGCGGAUACGGUCUCACUUGAGCAAGCUAGGGGGCAAUGGAAUUCCCGGUGUAGCGGUGAAAUGCGUAGAGAUCGGGAGGAACACCAGUGGCGAAGGCGGCUACCUGGACCAGCACUGACACUGAGGCACGAAAGCGUGGGGAGCAAACAGG
rnacentral:rRNA from 1 species